AUUGAACGCUGGCGGCAGGCUUAACACAUGCAAGUCGAGCGGGGGAGGGUAGCUUGCUACCGGACCUAGCGGCGGACGGGUGAGUAAUGCUUAGGAAUCUGCCUAUUAGUGGGGGACAACAUCUCGAAAGGGAUGCUAAUACCGCAUACGUCCUACGGGAGAAAGCAGGGGAUCUUCGGACCUUGCGCUAAUAGAUGAGCCUAAGUCGGAUUAGCUAGUUGGUGGGGUAAAGGCCUACCAAGGCGACGAUCUGUAGCGGGUCUGAGAGGAUGAUCCGCCACACUGGGACUGAGACACGGCCCAGACUCCUACGGGAGGCAGCAGUGGGGAAUAUUGGACAAUGGGGGGAACCCUGAUCCAGCCAUGCCGCGUGUGUGAAGAAGGCCUUAUGGUUGUAAAGCACUUUAAGCGAGGAGGAGGCUACUUUAGUUAAUACCUAGAGAUAGUGGACGUUACUCGCAGAAUAAGCACCGGCUAACUCUGUG
rnacentral:rRNA from 1 species